CCUACGGGCGGCUGCAGUGAGGAAUAUUGGUCAAUGGGCGCGAGCCUGAACCAGCCAAGUAGCGUGAAGGAUGACUGCCCUACGGGUUGUAAACUUCUUUUAUGAAGGGAUAAAGUUAUGCACGUGUGCCUGUUUGUAUGUACUGUAUGAAUAAGGAUCGGCUAACUCCGUGCCAGCAGCCGCGGUAAUACGGAGGAUCCGGGCGUUAUCCGGAUUUAUUGGGUUUAAAGGGAGCGUAGAUGGGUCUUUAAGUCAGUCGUGAAAGUUUGUGGCUCAACCGUGAAAUUGCGAUUGAUACUGGAAGUCUUGAGUACAGGUGAGGUAGGCGGAAUUCGUGGUGUAGCGGUGAAAUGCUUAGAUAUCACGAAGAACCCCGAUUGCGAAGGCAGCUUACUACACCGCCACUGACAUUGAUGCUCGAAAGUGCGGGUAUCAAACAGGAUUAGAUACCCCAGUAGUC
rnacentral:rRNA from 1 species